rnacentral:rRNA from 1 species
CAGUAGCCGCGGUAAUACGUAGGGUGCGAGCGUUAAUCGGAAUUACUGGGCGUAAAGCGUGCGCAGGCGGUUAUAUAAGACAGAUGUGAAAUCCCCGGGCUCAACCUGGGAACUGCAUUUGAAACUGGCAAGCUAGAGUCUUGUAGAGGGGGGUAGAAUUCCAGGUGUAGCGGUGAAAUGCGUAGAGAUCUGGAGGAAUACCGGUGGCGAAGGCGGCCCCCUGGACAAAGACUGACGCUCAGGUGCGAAAGCGUGGGGAGCAAACAGGAUUAGAUACCCGGGUAGUCCCUGUCUCUUAUAC